rnacentral:rRNA from 1 species
GAUGAACGCUGGCGGCGUGCCUAAUACAUGCAAGUCGAGCGAACAGACGAGGAGCUUGCUCCUCUGACGUUAGCGGCGGACGGGUGAGUAACACGUGGAUAACCUACCUAUAAGACUGGGAUAACUUCGGGAAACCGGAGCUAAUACCGGAUAAUAUAUUGAACCGCAUGGUUCAAUAGUGAAAGACGGUUUUGCUGUCACUUAUAGAUGGAUCCGUGCCGCAUUAGCUAGUUGGUAAGGUAACGGCUUACCAAGGCAACGAUGCGUAGCCGACCCGAGAGGGUGAUCGGCCCGGCUGGAACUGAGACACGGUCCAGAGUCGUACGGGAGGCAGCAGUAGGGAAUCUUCCGCAAUGGGCGAAAGCCUGACGGAGCAACGCCGCGUGAGUGAUGAAGGUCUUCGGAUCGUAAAACUCUGUUAUUAGGGAAGAACAAAUGUGUAAGUAACUAUGCACGUCUUGACGGUACCUAAUCAGAAAGCCACGGCUAACUACGUG